GUGGAGCACAAACCAAAAAGUCAAAAGUACAAAAAACAGUUUCAAUUCUGUUUUCAAACACAGUUCUAGUCUAAAAUUUUAAGAAUGUAUCGCAUUGUGCUGUUCAUGCUGCCGAUAGUGGCAAAUCGGGUCUGGAACUCGACGAAGCUUGUGAUGGUACGCGGGGAGCCCCCCCAGAUGGCCGAAAAUCUGUUGAUGUCCCGGCUAACCGUCCCAGGAGAACGUAAGGAUGGCAAUUAGAAAGCGGCGGCAACCUAAAAAUCCCCAAAUGAGAGUUUUUUAAUGCAGAUUUUAACAAAAUUGGAUGUUUUUAAAUAACUAAUAGUUCUAUGAAUUUAUGCUGUUAAUUGUAUUAGAUUCGACACUUGCUGAGAAAACGGAUAGACGGAUUUGCAGUGAAUCUUUUUUGUUCAAAUUAAUGGGAAAUAUAUCAAUUUGUAGAACUAUUUG